UUAAACGGCCGCGAUAUUUUAAUCGUGCGAAGGUAGCAUAAUCAAUUGUCUAUUAAUUGUAGGCUGGAAUGAAUGGUUUGACUGUAAGAUAAGUUGUCUUGGUUUAAAGAUGAAUUUUCUUUUUUUGUGAGGAAGCAAAAAUGGGGCAAAGAGACGAGAAGACCCUAUUAAGUUUAAUAGUAGGAGGUAUUUGAAUGUGUAGGGAGGGGGAAUGAAUUGUGUUAUUUAGUUGGGGCGGUGAGAAUUAAUUAAAACAAUUAUUUGUGGGAAAACUACUAAGUGGGAGUUGAUCCAGUAUUAUUGAUUUGAAGUCUAAAUUACUGUAGGGAUAACAGCGUAAUUUUAUUUUGGAGUUCUAAUUUAUGAUGAAGUUUGCGACCUCGAUGUUGGUUUAGGGGCCCAGUUAGGUGAAGAAGCCUAAUAAGGUAGUCUGUUCGACUAGUAAAAUCCUAUA
rnacentral:rRNA from 1 species